rnacentral:rRNA from 1 species
UAGGGAAUCUUCCGCAAUGGACGAAAGUCUGACGGAGCAACGCCGCGUGAGUGAAGAAGGAUUUCGGUUCGUAAAACUCUGUUGUUAGGGAAGAAAAAAUGUAUAGUAACUAUAUACAAAAGAGACGGUACCUAACCAGAAAGCCACGGCUAACUACGUGCCAGCAGCCGCGGUAAUACGUAGGUGGCAAGCGUUGUCCGGAAUUAUUGGGCGUAAAGCGCGCGCAGGUGGUUUAGAAAGUCUGAUGUGAAAGCCCACGGCUCAACCGGGGAGGGUCAUUGGAAACUAAUAAACUUGAGUGCAGGGGAGAAAAGUGGAAUUCCUAGUGUAGCGGUGAAAUGCGUAGAGAUUAGGAGGAACACCGGUGGCGAAAGCGGCUUUUUGGCCUGCAACUGACACUGAGGCGCGAAAGCGUGGGGAGCAAACAGG